rnacentral:tRNA from 1 species
AAGGCUUUAAGUUAAAUAAACUAAUAACCUUCAAAGCUAUAAAUAUAAGAUUGAUCUUUUAAGCCUUA